CCUACGGGAGGCAGCAGUGAGGAAUAUUGGUCAAUGGGCGGGAGCCUGAACCAGCCAAGUAGCGUGAAGGAUGACAGCUCUAUGGGUUGUAAACUUCUUUUAUACGGGAAUAAAGUGAGACACGUGUGGGGUUUUGUAUGUACCUUAUGAAUAAGCAUCGGCUAACUCCGUGCCAGCAGCCGCGGUAAUACGGAAGAUGCGAGCGUUAUCCGGAUUUAUUGGGUUUAAAGGGUGCGUAGGCGGUUUCCUAAGUUCGCGGUGAAAACUUGUGGCUUAACCCUAAAAUUGCCGUUGAAACUGUUUGACUUGAGUAUAUGCGGGGUACGCGGAAUGCGUGGUGUAGCGGUGAAAUGCUUAGAUAUCACGCAGAACUCCGAUCGCGAAGGCAGCUUACCAAACUAUAACUGACGCUGAGGCACGAAAGCGCGGGGAUCAAACAGGAUUAGAUACCCUUGUAGUC
rnacentral:rRNA from 1 species